AGUGGCGGACGGGUGAGUAACGCGUGGGUAACCUGCCCCAUACAGGGGGAUAACAGCUGGAAACGGCUGCUAAUACCGCAUAAUCCUGCGGGGCCGCAUGGCCCUGCAUGGAAAGCCUUGGCGGUAUGGGAUGGGCCCGCGUCUGAUUAGGCAGUUGGCGGGGUAACGGCCCACCAAACCGACGAUCAGUAGCCGGCCUGAGAGGGCGACCGGCCACAUUGGGACUGAGACACGGCCCAAACUCCUACGGAAGGCAGCAG
rnacentral:rRNA from 1 species